GAGGGUCACCUUCCUAUUUUCUAAAGCUUCUUUAUUCUUCAACCACCAAGGCUCGCCCAUCCAUCAUUACUACCAUAAUGGCCAUGUCGGCACCAGCAGUAAAGAGGGAAGUCUUUCUUCACACCUUCUAUAGUUAAUCUAUGCCUCAUAUCAGCUGUGCUGUUGGGCUGUGCUCCUGCCCAGGUGAAUGGGAAAACUAUCUGGAGCAGAGAGGAAUAGGAAUUGAGAUAGUCAAGAACUUCACAGAUGAAGAAGAAAUUGAGCUGGGCUCAACAGACAAGAGUGAGGAACUCUGGCAAUUAAGCCCAAAAGUAUUCUUGAAUUAAAAUUUAUAUACAAAUGCAGAACAAGGGGAUUCCCUACACAAAAAACAAAGGACCAGGAUAAAUCUUCUUGCUCAUAAUUACCAGAUUAUUUCCUGUCAGUAGACCACCAGCUUUGUACCCUCAGCACCUUCAUCAUGAGGAGAAACAAAGUGCAAGAUGAGAAAACUCAAGUCCUUGGUCCUCAGUCAUGUAGUCAAUUUAUGACAGAGCCAGAAUGGAACCUCAGCCUCCUGACACCUGACUAGUGGACUUUUCCCAACACCUUCCUGCCUUGUGGGGUAGAAAGACCACAGAGGUUCCCACUGCCAUGUUGCCUAAGAAUCUUACAACGAGCAGCCUGCCUGUGAAGAUGGCACAUGUGAUGGACCACAAUGCACUAAAGAACAUUGCUGGAGGGAUGGGAGAUAAUGGAUUUGGGCUCAUUUUUCAUCUCACAUAUAUUCUUAGCCUCCCUCUUCAAUAAGACUGUAAAGACCUAGUCAUCCUCUAUGGCCUGACCUCUUCCUGGGUUCUCCAACGCUCUCCCCACCUUCUCAUCCCACCGCUCAAUUAGCUCUUCAAUGGCUGACCUUUGCUGAGGGGCCAGUUCUUUCAAGGGUUAUCCUGAGACAGUUGUAUUUCUGCCACCAGCCUCCAAAAACCCCACAUGUGUGCACCCAGAGCACCUGGAACACCUCAUUCUUCCUUGAACCCAUUGCUGUCAAGUAAGAGUCUGUUUAUUUGUCCAUCUCUUUCCCCAAACCCCAGACUCCUUCAGGGCGGUGACAUGGGUCAUAAUAUUACCUGCAUCCAUAGCACCUAGCAUAGUGGCUAGUACUCAGAAGUGUUACUUAAAUGUGGGAUGGAUGGAUAGAUGAAAAACGUGAAUCCCUGCUGCUACUCUCAAUGCACCUAUUAAACCUCUAUCAUAUCCCUGAGGGAGCCAGGGAUAUGAUAGAUUAGAAAAUGCUAAUUGACACUGAGCAAACUAGAUCCUCUCAAUGAAAUUCAUCCCCUGUUGCCACCAGAGCCCCUUAAAUCUCCUCUCCAUGAGGCCCUCUCUGAACUCAAUUCCAUUUCUCAAUACUUAACUUUUCUUCCUUCCCCCUGGAUCUCCAUCAUACUGGACUUAA